CGGGAACUCAAAGGAGACUGCCAGUGAUAAACUGGAGGAAGGUGGGGAUGACGUCAAGUCAUCAUGGCCCUUACGGCCAGGGCUACACACGUGCUACAAUGGCAUAUACAAAGAGAAGCGACCUCGCGAGAGCAAGCGGACCUCAUAAAGUAUGUCGUAGUCCGGAUUGGAGUCUGCAACUCGACUCCAUGAAGUCGGAAUCGCUAGUAAUCGUAGAUCAGAAUGCUACGGUGAAUACGUUCCCGGGCCUUGUACACACCGCCCGUCACACCAUGGGAGUGGGUUGCAAAAGAAGUAGGUAGCUUAACCUUCGGGAGGGCGCUUACCACUUUGUGAUUCAUGACUGGGGUGAAGUCGUAACAAGGUAGCCGUAGGGGAACCUGCGGCUGGAUCACCUCCUUACCUUAAAGAA
rnacentral:rRNA from 1 species